rnacentral:rRNA from 1 species
UACGAAGGGGGCUAGCGUUGUUCGGAAUUACUGGGCGUAAAGGGCGCGUAGGCGGCGACCCAAGUCAGAUGUGAAAGUCCUGGGCUUAACCUGGGGACUGCAUUUGAUACUGGGUUGCUUGAAUUCGGGAGAGGAUAGCGGAAUUCCCAGUGUAGAGGUGAAAUUCGUAGAUAUUGGGAAGAACACCGGUGGCGAAGGCGGCUAUCUGGGAAGAUACUGACGCUGAGACGCGAAAGCGUGGGGAGCAAACAGG